CAGGUGCACAAAGGUGAUAUUUCUACGAGCUGUUCACCAGCAGCUUGCUCUAGAAUUCCGAGAUGCCCAGACUGCUUCUAUGGAAAAUUUACUAUAUUUAAAAGAGAAUCUAAUAAUUCCAAAUAAACUUCGUUUCUGUGAGCUAAUCAUAAACAAGGCAAGAGGCAAAAGUGGCCCAGUAAGUUUUCUUUUUUGAUGUUCCUUUGUUUUACAUUGAAAGUAGUUUGAUCAUUAUUUUAUGCUAAGUUGAAAAAAAUUGAAGGGAAACUAAUGAGGAAUCAAAAUAUGAGUACGGAUUACUAAGUUGCGUUAAUUAUCUAUUUCUGAUGUUAACAACUUAACAAUAAUCCUGCCAAUAAGGCUGAAAUCAUUGACAUGAUGAGGAUUCUUUGUGCUGCUAUUCUGCUAUACCUGCUGCUAUUCUGCUAUGCCUACUUUUUGGUGUUUGUGUUUUUAUGUUCAGCUUGUAUAUGGAGUGAAACUCUGCAAACUCUGCCACUAUAAGCCUUCAGUUUAGUCAAAAUGAAAUUGCUAGCUAUACAUUAAUAACUACUAAUAUCUGCUAGGAUAAUGCUUUGGGAUCUCUAUGAUUUGUGAAAAUAUUUUAUUAGUAUAUAUGGAGUGAAACACUCUGCAUUCUACAACUAUAUAUUUUAGAUGAAGUCUUCUAUUAGUGAUGUUCAAAUGACAUGACUAGAGGGAGUAUCUCAUCCUGUCAAAAGUAAAUAUGCCUAAUUUUGUGUUUCUAUGCCAACUUCUUGAUGCAUAAAUAGAGAGAAUGUUCAAGCUCAGAUGUACAUUAACUUCUUAAGGUAGCUCUAAAGAUGACAGUGUCCUAGAAUCCAGAUAUCGUCUACCGCAACUACAUCAAGUAGAGUUGUAGGGGGUCUAUUCCAAAAGCACUACAUUGAGUGCUAGUUAUGGCAAGUUUUACACUCAGUUGCAAGUUUGCAAUGCUACCAGAAAAAAGGUCUUUAAAGCUAGAUUUAUGAGGGUAUUCAAUAAUUCGAAGGAGCGGCCUUUCACCUCUGAGGAGAUAGAUGAAGUUCGAGAAAUAAUGUUGGCAAACUUCAUUACAAGUGAUUGUCUUUGAUAUUUUUUCUUGUACUUAAUCUUAAAUUGUGGAUGCUAGUUUUUCAUAUGAUUGUAAUGUAAUCGACUUUUAUAUUUACAAUUAUAUACUAUUUAAUUAUCUAUAUAAUUUGAUAC